rnacentral:rRNA from 1 species
GAAUUUUAUAUUAAUUUAUUAUAUAAUUUUAAAAAGGAAUUUGAUAAAUUUAUAUUUUAUUGGGAGGAUAAAUAAAUUAAAAGAACUUUAAUAGUUAAAAAUCCAUAAAUUUAUGAAAUUAUUAAUGAAUGAGUGGUUAUUAAAUUUAAUUAGAAUUAAUUACCUUAGGGAUAACAGCGUAAUAUUUUUAGAGAGAUCUUAUUAAUAAAGAUGAUUGC